GAACAUGGCUUGAACCCGACACCAAAAAUACCAACCACUCAGACUCCGACAGGUCGACAUCCAGAAUGCGGAUAUGGAUCCAACAUAAGAGACGUCGAGCCACCGCCUAAUUCCGCACCAUAAAUACCAACCAGCUCCGCCAUGCAUUUACCUUCUCGCGAAAGCGUCUCGAGAACUCUUAUUUGUCUCCCGCUCUCUCUUUAUCUGGAACUCAAGCACUAAGCUUUCUGUUUGGCUCCCAAUGGAUUCUGUCCAAACAAACCUUAAUGAUCCCCAAUCAUUUUCUGCACAAACACUAAAUUUAUACAACCAAAACCCUCCUCCUCCUUCGGAAACCCUAGCCUCCGAUUACCCGCCUCCGCCACCUCUGUCACAAGCUUUCGAGUCCGAUCCUUCCAAAACCCUAGGAUGCGACCCUGACAAUGGCUGCAACAACAACGGCGGUAACCAGGUUUAUCACGAUACUGAUUCCAAUACUAUUAAUGAUUUUUCAUUGAAACCCGAAAUUCAGAAGCCUCUGCUGUCGGAAAGUGGGUUAAUUAACACUUAUAGUGGCACCACUGACAAGGAUUAUUCUGGCGGAGAAGAGGAAACCACUAGCCGAAGGCGAAGGAGGAGCCGGUGGGACCCGCCUUCCGAUUCGAACAACAACCAGAGCUGGAAUGAUGAGGCUGGCAGUGGGAACAAGAAGAGGAAGUCCCGGUGGGCAGAUGAUGAGCCGAAGCAGGUGAUUCAGCUCCCUGAUUUCAUGAAAGAUUUCACUGGAGGAAUCCAAUUUGACUCUGAGAUUCAAGCUUUGAAUAGUAGGCUGCUAGAGAUUAGUAGAAUGUUGCAAUCUGGAUUGCCUUUGGAUGAUAGACCUGAGGGAGCUAGGUCUCCUUCACCUGAACCUGUAUAUGAUAAUAUGGGGAUUAGGAUUAAUACCAGGGAAUAUCGAGCAAGAGAGAGAUUGACUAAAGAGCGUCAAGAAAUUAUAUCUCAGAUUCUUAAGAAGAAUCCAGCAUUUAAGCCGCCAGCAGACUAUAGGCCACCAAAGCUUCAGAAGAAGCUUUACAUACCGAUGAAAGAGUACCCGGGUUACAAUUUUAUCGGGUUGAUUAUUGGGCCUAGAGGGAAUACCCAAAAGAGGAUGGAGAAGGAUACGGGUGCAAAGAUUGUAAUUAGGGGCAAAGGUUCAGUGAAGGAAGGUAGGUUGCAGCAGAAGAGGGAUUUGAAGCCUGAUCCUUCAGAGAAUGAGGACUUGCAUGUUUUGGUUGAGGCUGAAACACAAGAAUCACUUGAUGCUGCUGCAGCAAUGGUGGAAAAGCUCUUGCAGCCUGUUGAUGAAGUAUUGAAUGAGCAUAAGAGGCAACAGUUGAGGGAACUUGCUGCCUUGAAUGGAACGAUAAGAGAUGAAGAGUAUUGUAGGUUGUGUGGUGAGCCAGGGCACCGUCAAUAUGCGUGUCCUUCACGCACUUCAACUUUUAAGAGUGAUGUUUUAUGUAAGAUAUGUGGUGAUGGUGGGCAUCCAACAAUAGAUUGUCCAAUGAAGGGAACAACAGGGAAGAAAAUGGAUGAUGAAUAUCAGAAUUUCUUGGCUGAGUUAGGAGGUACCGUCCCUGAAUCAGCAAGCAAGCAAAACUCUUCAUCCGUCAGUUCUGGAAGCAAUCCUUCUUGGGCUAGCAACAGUGGAAGUGCUGAAAGUGUACACCCUGGCUUAGGUUUCAAUGCUGUUAAGCCCCCCAAGGACUAUGAUGAUACUAAUUUGUACAUUGGAUACUUGCCUCCUAAUCUUGAUGAUGAUGGUUUGAUCAGUUUGUUUUCUUCUUACGGUGAUAUUGUGAUGGCAAAGGUAAUUAAGGACCGGACUUCAGGACUGAGUAAAGGGUAUGGUUUUGUGAAGUAUGCCAAUGUUGACAUGGCAAACAAUGCUAUUAAGGGAAUGAAUGGUUAUCGCCUGGAGGGAAGAACCAUUGCUGUGAGAGUUGCUGGCAAGCCACCACAACCUAUCGUGCCUCCUGGUCCUCCCGCGUCAGCACCCUCUUACCCUGUCUCUAGCCAACUGGUUGGUGCCUAUCCAUCACAGCAAUUUACAACUGGAGGUCCUCUUCCCAAUGCAGCUACUGCUAGUUAUGCAGGGAAUCCAGUUCCAUGGGGACCUCCAGUUCCUCCUCCUCCUUAUGCUCCUUAUGCCCCUCCUCCUCCUCCUCCUCCUCCUCCUGGAUCAACCAUGUAUUCUCCUGUUCCAGGUCAGCCUCUGCCUCCUUAUGGCUUGCAAUAUCCCCCACAAAUGCGGACAGUUCCCCCUGGUAUUCCACCUCCUCCUGUGACUUCUAGUGAAACGGCACCAAGUUUCCCACCAGGAGUGCAAUCUGAAAACAGCACUUCUGCCACAUCUAUUCCUACAAACAUUUAUGGGAAUUCAUUGACUGCAAUGCCUCCAAAUUCACAAUCUGUAUAUCCAACAUCUUCAUUAGGUUAUUCUUCUUAUUACAAUGCAGUUCCUCCCCCUCCCCCUCCUUCAGCACCUACGACUUCUACGGAGCAUUCCCAGAGCAUGAGUAAUGUGCCUUGGGCACCAAAUCCUCCUCUGCCUCCCACAGUCUCCUCUGGAGAGAAAACAACCUAUGGUUCAGAUCCUGAGUACGAGAAGUUCAUGGCAGAGAUGAAGUGAUGCAAAUAUACUCCAUUGAUAGUUAUGUGCUGAGAGGACUGAUGUUUCUUGGAGCUCUUGUGAACCUGAUUUCUUACCUCUUGCCAUGACUUUGUUGGAAGUUUGGGACUCACAUCUUUUAUGUUCCUGUACUGUUAUGAAAUUUGCAGAGACUUGGAUAAAAGUUCAGCUCAUGAAGUUGCAUUCCGAAAAAGCUGUUCAAAUUUUAUUAAUAUUAAAAUUUUCAGUGCACCUGCAGGAGUUCAUUUUAUUUUCUAUGAAUUCAUAGUGGCUUCGGUUUUAUGUCUGAUUGCUAAUGUUUACUAUGGUUCCUUUUUGUCAAGCUUUUUUCAACAACUGGUUCCCGGCAAUUUUUGUUACUACAUUUUACUUCUCUGGGGGAUUUUUUAAUGGUUUUGUUAAUUAGCCUAGAAUACUAUGCUAUUUUCUGGUUAUAAUGCCCUUUCAUUUGUAAGGAUAUUAAAUUUGCCACGUUGCCCUGCCUAGAAGCUUCCCUGGCAUCCGUUUCUUGUUUCCGUGUGUUCAAGUUAAUUACCUUAAUACGAAGUUCACUGGGGUAUGUUCUCUCAAUUAUAUAUAAAUAUACGUAUGUAUGUUUGAAUGUUUUUUUGUGAUUCCCCUUUUCUUUUUGUUGCACUGAUGUAUCUUCUAAGUUCAGAUUUGGCAGGUGAAAGAAACCAUACAUGUCUCCGUAGCCACUGGGUUCUCAAUAUUGUUUUUCUGGGUCUUGAACUGAGAAAAUAGUUACCAUGGUUGCUGUUAUUAUGGGAAAUGAAUGGGAGGUGUUUGAUUCAUCAAUCGAGGUUAUAUGUGGUUCAACUAAAGUGGAUACGAUAGUUGUAAAUUUAAAGAGGAUUUUGGUUUAGGCCAUUUAAGUAUGGCUGGCAUUCAUUCAAUUAUGAAUAACAGAGCUGGUUAGAAAAAGAGCAAUCAUUUGAGCUAGUAAUACAUCCUUAAUAGGUUUUGAUUGUUCUACUUGCCUGCUUAGGUUAGAAAUUGUGCACUCUCAAUAGCUAUUAGGACCUUUGUUGUAGCAAUUGAUGUUUGGAAUCUGUAUAACUAAGUCUGGUCCUUCCUAAAAAACUGACAUGAUGAUUAUAAAGCUUUAUUAAACUAAAGAGUUGGUUACCCUAUAUGAUCCACUAUAUAGGUAACCUUAAUAUGUUUACUUAGACUUUGACUAGAAACCUUUCUUCUUGAUUUAUAGCCACUUGUUUGUCAGGGUUGUUUCAUGUUUGGAGUCAAUAGAACUAAAAACAGUAUAUCAUAGAUCAUUUAUUUAGACUAUUGGAUGGCAGAAUUCAAUUCAAUUCAUUUUCUUUUUUUUUUUCUUUGUUUGGAGUUUUACUUUUAACUCUUUUCAAACUUUAUAUAGUCUCCAUUGCAACUAUUGUUCAUAUAACAAAUCUUGUCAAUUAUUGUGCUGCAUGGAUUUGGUUUAAACUGUGUUUGGUGCAACCUAACCCAAGGGCCAGUGUUGCUUUUAAAAUCAUGCAUUGCCUAAAAAAAUGAAACAGUUAUAUGUUCUUGCUGCAGUUUGUUACUACUGGAGCAGAGUAUUGCUAAGCUCCUUCCCUAGCUUUUAAUAAUUUAAAUUUCAUUGGUGAUGCUUUAUUGAUCGUAUUCUCUUUCUAUUAUUGUUCUAAAAACUUUAGAAUGGAGCCUGGUUUUUAAGGAUGAAUUUUGGCAUGUGAUGUUUAUGAAAAGGUUAAAACUAUUGUCUGAUCUAGUUGCUUUUCUGAACAACUAGUCGAUGAUAAAAAUUAUUGAAGCCGUAGCUGACAUUUCCAGGUGAAUUUUGAAACAUCACCUGUUGGUGUGUUUAUAUUCUGUGCCUGAACCGAUUGGCCACUUACUCUGAUUUCCUUUUUUUGCUUGUUUGUUUUGCUUUUGGCAUUUGUAAGGCUGGAGAUACUUUUAGAGAAAGAUUAAUCUGCAUAUUGCUAAGUCUUUUAUCUAAUGGUGAAACCACCAAACCAUGGCGGCUUUCCCUUGUCAUGGAUUUCCCAUUCUGUAAUCCUGGUUGGUUAAAUGCUGAGGCAGACUCAUCCUUUCUGUUAUCGUUAUGUGUUGCUGUCACAAGCUUUUGUGGACUCCAAUCAAAGCAUUUUGGUGCAUCGGCCACUAGCCUCCUAGUCCUAGAUAGAAUGGCUUUGCUCCCAUUUUGUGUGUGAGGAAUGAGACAGAAAGCCUUUUAACCAAUGGGAGAGGGUUGGUGUUUGGUAGUGGGCUUUUGGUGGGGGGUGUGAAAGAAUUUUUUAGCUCAAAGAAAGCAUAACAAUCUUUUACUGCUUAGGUGGUUGUUAUUGGGUCAUAGGUUUUUUUACACAGUUUUAAGUUACAUAUUGUAUGUGAUAUUUGAUUCACUGCUUUUAUUAGGUCAGUGAAAUUUCAUCCUUUCUACGAUGGAUCUUUUUCAUUUGUUUUGUGGACAGAGUAUCAGAACACUCGUCCUUUGUUAUUCCAGUGUUUGAACUCCACUUUUGCAGUGUGCCUAAAUGCGGAUGUAAAACUAAUAAACUAAUGUGGUAUAACCUGUUAGACGUCGGCUAACGGUGAAAGAAAGGACUGAUUGACCCAAAAAGAAAAAGUUAAGCCAAUCACCUUUAAAAAGAUGAAAGAAAAAAGUCAAUGGACGAUAAAAAGCAUUUUUUUUUAUUUUGCCGGGGGCAUUAUCUCAAUGGAUUGUACUAGAGGUCCAGUUUUGAUCUGUGGCUAUGGCUUCUAAG